CCUAUGGGGGGCAGCAGGCGCGAAAACUUUACAAUGCGGGAAACCGUGAUAAGGGAACUCUGAGUGCCCGUUAAAUCGGGCUGUCCAUCAGUUUAAAAAACUGGUGAAGAAAGGGCCGGGCAAGACCGGUGCCAGCCGCCGCGGUAAUACCGGCGGCUCGAGUGGUGGCCACUAUUACUGGGCUUAAAGCGUUCGUAGCUGGUUUGUUAAGUCUCUGGGGAAAUCUUCCGGCUUAACCGGAAGGCGUCUCAGGGAUACUGGCAGACUAGGGACCGGAAGAGGUGAGAGGUACUCCAGGGGUAGGAGUGAAAUCCUGUAAUCCUUGGGGGACCACCUGUGGCGAAGGCGUCUCACCAGGACGGCUCCGACAGUGAGGGACGAAAGCUGGGGGAGCAAACCGGAUUAGAUACCCCCGUAGUCC
rnacentral:rRNA from 1 species